UGGGGAAUUUUGGACAAUGGGGGAAACCCUGAUCCAGCCAUCCCGCGUGUGCGAUGAAGGCCUUCGGGUUGUAAAGCACUUUUGGCAGGAAAGAAACGUCAUGGGUUAAUACCCCGUGAAACUGACGUUACCUGCAGAAUAAGCACCGGCUAACUACGUGCCAGCAGCCGCGGUAAUACGUAGGGUGCAAGCGUUAAUCGGAAUUACUGGGCGUAAAGCGUGCGCAGGCGGUUCGGAAAGAAAGAUGUGAAAUCCCAGAGCUCAACUUUGGAACUGAAUUUUUAACUACCGGGCUAGAGUGUGUCAGAGGGAGGUGGAAUUCCGCGUGUAGCAGUGAAAUGCGUAGAUAUGCGGAGGAACACCGAUGGCGAAGGCAGCCUCCUGGGAUAACACUGACGCUCAUGCACGAAAGCGUGGGGAGCAAACAGG
rnacentral:rRNA from 1 species